CGUCCGCACAAGCUGCAACUGCAACCCCAGCAUCCACCCUCAUCCGGACCUACCCAAUCUCCUAGACGACAUCACCGUUUCAGCUUCCCCGGCGAGCAUCCACCAUUCCACCACCUGCUGUACUCCUCAGCUUCGUCCUUGUGAGAAUAAGCUGUUCGAUAAAAUGUCUACUAAGCUCGGCCUUAUACUUUACUCCACACUUCCACAGUGAGUGGCAUCGCUACUUUUCAAAAGCUCUUGGAAGGAAAGAAAACAGGCUCCUAGGUCUGGUUGCACACAUAAUAGUAUGUAUGAUUCACGCAUGCUGUUUCUGUAGAUAGCUGUCAUUGGAUUAAGUCAAACUGUUUUGUGAUCCAA